AGUGAACGCUGGCGGUAGGCCUAACACAUGCAAGUCGAACGGCAGCACAGUAAGAGCUUGCUCUUACGGGUGGCGAGUGGCGGACGGGUGAGGAAUACAUCGGAAUCUACUUUUUCGUGGGGGAUAACGUAGGGAAACUUACGCUAAUACCGCAUACGUCCUACGGGUGAAAGCAGGGGAUCUUCGGACCUUGCGCGAUUGAAUGAGCCGAUGUCGGAUUAGCUAGUUGGCGGGGUAAAGGCCCACCAAGGCGACGAUCCGUAGCUGGUCUGAGAGGAUGAUCAGCCACACUGGAACUGAGACACGGUCCAGACUCCUACGGGAGGCAGCAGUGGGGAAUAUUGGACAAUGGGCGCAAGCCUGAUCCAGCCAUACCGCGUGGGUGAAGAAGGCCUUCGGGUUGUAAAGCCCUGUUGUUGGGAAAGAAAAGCAGCAGGUGAAUACCCCGCUGUUCUGACGGUACCUAAAGAAUAAGCACCGGCUAACUUCGUG
rnacentral:rRNA from 1 species